rnacentral:rRNA from 1 species
AAAUUGAAGAGUUUGAUCAUGGCUCAGAUUGAACGCUGGCGGCAGGCCUAACACAUGCAAGUCGAGCGGAAACGAGUUAUCUGAACCUUCGGGGAACGAUAACGGCGUCGAGCGGCGGACGGGUGAGUAAUGCCUAGGAAAUUGCCCUGAUGUGGGGGAUAACCAUUGGAAACGAUGGCUAAUACCGCAUGAUGCCUACGGGCCAAAGAGGGGGACCUUCGGGCCUCUCGCGUCAGGAUAUGCCUAGGUGGGAUUAGCUAGUUGGUGAGGUAAGGGCUCACCAAGGCGACGAUCCCUAGCUGGUCUGAGAGGAUGAUCAGCCACACUGGAACUGAGACACGGUCCAGACUCCUACGGGAGGCAGCAGUGGGGAAUAUUGCACAAUGGGCGCAAGCCUGAUGCAGCCAUGCCGCGUGUGUGAAGAAGGCCUUCGGGUUGUAAAGCACUUUCAGUCGUGAGGAAGGCGGCGUCGUUAAUAGCGGCGUUGUUUGACGUUAGCGACAGAAGAAGCACCGGCUAACUCCGUGCCAGCAGCCGCGGUAAUACGGAGGGUGCGAGCGUUAAUCGGAAUUACUGGGCGUAAAGCGCAUGCAGGUGGUUUGUUAAGUCAGAUGUGAAAGCCCGGGGCUCAACCUCGGAAUUGCAUUUGAAACUGGCAGACUAGAGUACUGUAGAGGGGGGUAGAAUUUCAGGUGUAGCGGUGAAAUGCGUAGAGAUCUGAAGGAAUACCGGUGGCGAAGGCGGCCCCCUGGACAGAUACUGACACUC